AGUGAACGCUGGCGGUAGGCCUAACACAUGCAAGUCGAACGGCAGCACAGUAAGAGCUUGCCCUUACUGGUGGCGAGUGGCGGACGGGUGAGGAAUACAUCGGAAUCUACUUUUUCUUGGGGGAUAACGUAGGGACACUUACGCUAAUACCGCAUACUACCUACGGGUGAAAGCAGGAGAUCUUCGGACCUUUCGCGAUUGAAUGAGCUGAUGUCGGAUUAGCUAGUUGGCUGGGUAAAGGCCCACCAAGGCGACGAUCCGUAGCUGGUCUGAGAGGAUGAUCGGCCACACUGGAACUGAGACACGGUCCAGACUCCUACGGGAGGCAGCAGUGGGGAAUAUUGGACAAUGGGCGCAAGCCUGAUCCAGCCAUGCCGCGUGGGUGAAGAAGGCCUUCGGGUUGUAAAGCCCUUUUGUUGGGAAAGAAAAGCAGCAGGUUAAUACCCCGCUGUUCUGACGGUACCCAAAGAAUAAGCACCGGCUAACUUCGUG
rnacentral:rRNA from 1 species